rnacentral:lncRNA from 1 species
AGCCUUGCUGAUAACUACCUCCUUUGUUAAUUAGAUAAUGCACAAGAGGCUGCAUAAUGUCACCUGCUUCCAUAUCUUUGCACUUUGGACACUAAGCGAGUCAUCAAAGUCAGUGCCAAAACAAAAGUCAAGAUGUCUGGAGAUAGCCCAGGAUGCAAGAUAUGGAUUAUACCCUGACAUAACACUGAGAAGAGAUACUGCAUCUUUGUGGCUUCUGCAUCUUGUCUAGACCAGUUCAAGGAUUAAAAAGUCUGAAUUCCAUAUCUUCCAAAGUCUUGGCUCUGAUCAGCGUUAACCCAUAAAUGCGAGUUUUUAACAAAUUUAUACUUCAGAGGAACAGACCAAAUCCCACAGUUGACUGGAUCUCCACCCAACCCCCUACUCCCAAGUUUCAGGACUGAGACAAGUUUCAGCCUGAAGUAAGUUUUUAUUGCCUUCUCAUAAACCCUUGAAUAAUAGGGUUUACAACAUAAGUGCUAAUGCAGCCAUAAUUAUAUUGGUGUGAACACAUUGUCAUAGCUCUAUGGCAUAUGUAUAUAGAAAUGACUAAGAGAAACCAGCUGCUCUCAAAGCAAGAGCUACACUCCAUAGCAACCAUGGAGCUAGUCCACACUACUCAGUAACUUGAACCUUCCUGACUGUAAGUUAUACACCCUAUAAAACACCUCAAAAGAUGACAGAUUGCAUCACGCAUCUCAGCAAAGCUCUCCACUCCGUAGCCAAGCCAUAGGUUUUCACAAAAGCCUCAAAGAUGACAGG